AUUGAACGCUGGCGGCAGGCUUAACACAUGCAAGUCGAACGCCCCGCAAGGGGAGUGGCAGACGGGUGAGUAACACGUGGGAACGUACCCUUUUCUACGGAAUAACCCAGGGAAACUUGGACUAAUACCGUAUGUGCCCUUCGGGGGAAAGAUUUAUCGGAAAAGGAUCGGCCCGCGUUGGAUUAGCUAGUUGGUGGGGUAAAGGCCUACCAAGGCGACGAUCCAUAGCUGGUCUGAGAGGAUGAUCAGCCACAUUGGGACUGAGACACGGCCCAAACUCCUACGGGAGGCAGCAGUGGGGAAUAUUGGACAAUGGGCGCAAGCCUGAUCCAGCCAUGCCGCGUGAGUGAUGAAGGCCUUAGGGUUGUAAAGCUCUUUCACCGGAGAAGAUAAUGACGGUAUCCGGAGAAGAAGCCCCGGCUAACUUCGUGCCAGCAGCCGCGGUAA
rnacentral:rRNA from 1 species